rnacentral:rRNA from 1 species
CCUACGGGAGGCUGCAGUCAAGAACCUUCCACAAUGGACGAAAGUCUGAUGGAGCGACGCCGCGUGAUGGAUGAAGUCCCUUAGGGACGUAAACAUCUUUUGUCGAGGAGAAAGUAAUUGAUAGUACUCGAAGAAUAAGGGGUUGCUAAACUCGUGCCAGCAGCAGCGGUAAUACGAGUGCCCCGAGCGUUAUCCGGAAUCAUUGGGCGUAAAGGGUGUGUAGGUGGCAUUGUUAGUCCCUUGUCAAAUUGCUCGGCUCAACCGGGCGCUUGCAAGGGAAACGGCAAUGCUCGAGGAUGUGAGGGGAGAGCGGAACUCAUGGAGUAGGGGUGAAAUCCGUUGAUAUCAUGGGGAACACCGAAAGCGAAGGCAGCUCUCUGGCGCAUUUCUGACACUGAAACACGAAAGCGUGGGUAGCGAACGGGAUUAGAUACCCUGGU